GAUUGUUACUUUGUUUGUUGCUUGUAUGUAUGUUGGAUUUAGAGAUUAACGAAGGAUAAAAUCUUGCCGCUUGUGGUAAUAGUUUUCUUGAAUCUUGAAUGUUUAGGUUGUGUUUUAAUACUCUAAAUCCUCUGUGACCAUUUCUAAACAUGUGAAAUGACAAGCUCACAAUUCUCAUAUGCUGAUGAUUACUGUGUUACAUUCUAUAAUUGUUACAUCCUAUCCCUUUUGUCUCCUAGUCUUACAGGCACAGUUGAUGAAAC
rnacentral:lncRNA from 1 species